UGCUGCAGGUGGCAUUUUAAAUUUCUAUCUCCUGCCAGGUUCUGCAGUCAUUACAUUAAGCAUGUUUCAUGGACGUCGUUUAAGCUUGCAAAAUUCAAGGGGUACAAGGAUCCAGCUGUUUGUAAAAACAUGGGGAUCCAGCUGCAAAUUAUCCAAGAUGGGCUGUUCUGAUUCUGUGGUUAUAAUGUGACCUACAGUAAUUUCUGGCAAUGAAGUUCUGAAUGUCAACAGACUUCAGAAAUAAUAGUUACAGAAACUGAAGGUCUGUAUUUGGUCUUGCGGUUGGGACUUUCCGGUAUCUGUGGAAUCCACUUAGCUUGAAGAUGUUGUAAGGAAGGUAAACAUCUUAAAACUGAAGAGACCGUAUUUCCUAUUUUCCACCUGAAUGGGUGGACUACCUUUGUUACCUAAAAAUGGCUGGGACAGUCAUUUUCCAUUAGGAGGUCAUGUUUCUUGUAAAGAAGAAAUUCUUCCCAUAUUAUAAAUAUGGUGCAGAAGGAACAGCAUUUAAUACUGCUUUGGAAGAUACAGUCAGUGCAGAAAACAGAAACUGUGGAAAUGGAACAGAACUUCGGAAAAGUAGGAUCAAAAGUAUAAUGGGAAAUGAGAUUGGCGCCUUCUUUCUUUAUCUGCUCAUCGCGUUCUGGUGUGAUUCCCAUCUAAGCAAGAAAACCUCCAGCAUUACAAAAAUGCCAUGCUAUUACUUUCAGGUGCUAAGUGCAGCUGGAAGUCCUCUAGCGGUCUGAAACAGUUGUGGUUAUCUUCUGUUAGUUAUAUUUUCUCUAUUCAAAGAUGUUAAAGGGAGUCCUGUCCUGCUUGUGUAUGCAAUAGUUGUUUUGUCCAGCGUCCAGCAAAGCAUUGGCUUUUAUAAGUGACUGUUACAGCUAGGGAGCAAUUCUAACACGUCAAAAGGAUCUUCUAAGCAAAAAUUCACUGAUCAUGCAGAUGAACCUGAAAUAUCUGCUUCCUUGAAAGACUUGGCCACUUUUGGCAUCCAUAGGGCUUAGGUAGAAUUGUCCAGGUGAGAGCUGCUGCACGAAGAAAAUAAUUUUGUGGUGGAGGAGCCACCAGCCACCACCAGCUGAUAGGACUGCUAUAUCCUCUCUGCUGGAAUCAGAUCACAGUGUUACUGGACUGGGGAUCUGAAAUAAGUCUGCUCCUUGGUGUUAAAAAAAAACUAGAUCUGAAGGGAAAGAAAAAUUGUACUAUACAAAUUCAAAUGGCUGGUUAUUAAUUACUGGCAAGUACAAAGAAUAGAAAAACAAUUCCUGUUGAACUUGGGUCUGUAUUCAGUGAAUGGUCAUAUGCUGCAAUGACUGCUAUUUCUAAUGAUAUUGCAUGAGGAGUGCUUUUCCAUCACAGGUGCCACAGGUAUGUUGCUAAACAUUAUUUAGAUGCUGAUUACUGGUAGGAGCAAUAUGGACUGCUGGGAAUGAGGGAGAAGGUGGAUAGCUUUUAGGACCUUGGUGAUUUCUCAGCCACCCUCACAUCACAACAAAGAUGAUAUUUUCCAUGUGAUAAUUUAAAAGCAAGUACCAUUUAACCAGGCUGUCCAGCAAAAAAGUAUAUGUAAAGCUGAAGAACUAUAGCCACUAACCUUUUUGAAGCAGCAAAUACCCUGUCAGGACUGCUGUUCAGAGAAACUGCAUUUCACGCUGUGAAACAGGGUGAAUUCUGGAAAAGAGUAACUGCUAUGAAUGACCAAGAAGUGCAGAUAUCAGAAAAAAUAGACUAUGGGGAAAAUGGACAAUGUAGUUGGUGUCUCAAACCCUCUCACAAGGCUGAAGGUCAAGAGCUGUAAAGAAGCCCAGUCAGUAAAGGAGGUUAGCUUGACAGAAGCACCCAUAGAUGGUAAUGAAAGGAAGCAAUUAGAACAGCUGCUCCUAUGGUAUGCGAGUGUAUUUUCCAAGAAUAACGAAAGAGUUUGGAUCACGGGAUUGAGCGCAAUACUGCUUUAUGCUUAAACUGUAGAACGCUCCUGGGAAGCAGUCUUUAUGUUGGCUGCCCUACCAACCAGGGGCUGGGUAGAAAUGUUAUAUUACAAGCUGGGAAAUGGUCUGACUAUGCAUCCUAUGGCACUGCUUGCAUCCUUUGUUGUCCAGGCAGUUCUGUGUUAGUGGGAGUUUUUGAAUUUUUGCUAUUGAUACAGUUACUCAAACUGCCUUAACUUGGAGCUUGGAGCUCCUGCCUUGCUAGGAACUUAUUAGACAGAUGCAGUGGCACGGAGAGCAGCUGUCCUGCUUGCAGGAUCACUUUUGGCCCUGAGGCAGUUCAGCUAUGUUUGUGCUGUGCCCACUCGAGCGAAUAAACCCUGAGCUGGCUGCAGGCCCGAGCUUCCCAGGCACUGCUUCCCAUCGCAGGGACCUCUGGGGAGAAUGAUUUAAGGACUACUGAGGCAUACACCAAACCCACUCCUCUGCAGCCAGUGCUAAUAACCCUGCCCACACCUAGCUGAUGCCUGCAGAGCUGGAGAGGGCUGCAGUAACACACUCUAAGCACUCUGGGCUUGCCUUGGGUGCACUACCAGACCGUAGCGGGCUACACGCAUGCGAGCGUUGCUAGAGGAACUGGCUUCAGCUCCAUGCUGGCUGUGCUGAGCUCUGCCAGCUCCGCAAGCUGCCUGGGUGUCUACACAGCGCAUUGAUUUUUCCCUCCUUCUUCUACCCAGGCAUAUACUACCUUGGUUUUUCAUUCUUCUGAGCAGUCUCUCUUUUUCUCAGAUAAAGUUUAUUUUAAAUAUGUAAAAUCUCAGAGGAAGUUUGAUGAUAUGUGCUGACUACCGGAAGUUAAAUUUCCAGCCUAUUCAGUUUAGGUACCUCCUUCUCUAUAUGAUAGACAGCCUAUAUAAAAUUUAAGGGAAAAUGGCAAGGUUUUUUGUUCACUUGCUUGUUUUUUUAAAAAAAUUUUUUAUUUUGUUGCAGUCUGGAUUCUGUUAGGUUCAGCUGAGUCUGAGAAUUUAAAACUCUAGCUUUUGUGUCAUCCUCUGGAUUACUGUAACUCUUCUGAAAUAAAUACAAGAACUGGUGGUUUCCCACUACAGUGUGUAAUAUCCCACCUGUGUGGGGCUGCCUCACCUGUGUGGGCUAACGUGUUUGGAGUUUGGAAGAUCUUUGUAUGCUUUGUGUGAAUUUGACAUAUUUCUCUAAAAUGUGGAAGAAAUGGCUAAUAUUAGAAGAAAAGUUUGCAAAGCUUUUAAGAGAGCCGGAUUCUAACUCUGGAGUGUAAAGCCUGUCAGCUUUCACUGAUACUCCUUGGGCAGCAAAGAUCACUGGGGCAAAUCUCCACUGCUUUCCAGGCCCAGGAUCCUCGCAUCACUGUUUCAUACUGAGGACAUUUCUCCAGCAGG